CUCUGCAACGCUCCACCAAGCAGCCGACUGACACAGAAGCAGAGGCACAGGGCUUGAUAUCAGAUGGAGCUUAGUGAGUCUCACUGAAAAGCUGAGGGAAGGACUGAGAGAGGCAGAGUUGCACAAUGGUCUUCACGUGGGGUCACUAACCCGUCGCCUGUCUGUGGAUCCUGUUCUCCUACCCGGGCUGCGUUUUCAAGAGCUGGUUGAUGGAUCUUUCUCUUUUCCUAAGAAAAGGCCACUCUGGUUCUCAACUCACUCUUGAAGCCGUGACAGGAGACAUUCACAUCUCAUUCCUUAAGGACUAUACAAAAGGUUUGCUCAAAGUCAUCUGCAGAUACAUCUUUUUUAGGAAUGAAUCCUUCGCACUGGAGACCAGAGAAGAGACCUGCAGUUGCAUUAUUAAUAAACAUCAAAGCAAAAUAUAAAAGUCUGAAUGGAAUAAAUAUUUUAGGACAGUGUUUUGCAAGCAAAUUCUUUCAUAGACAGUCUUUGAAGAGCUCUGAAAUUUUGCAUUUCAUAUUUGACUUUUCUGGGACUCUGACUAGAAUCAACUCACAACUGUUUGGGAUUUUCUUGGCAAUUAACCAGUUUGUGAACAGAGCUGAAUUUAUCAUAUGCUCUUCCAUCUACAUUAAUAUUGCUACAGUGAGGAACA